CAACUUCCUACUUGAUUCCUGCACUUCCCGUCUCAUGUGGUGUGUGAGCAUUUGAGCUCGGCUUUUAAUUCUCUACAAAAUUGUCGCUAUAAGACAUACUUCUAGAACAAACUUAACACUCAAGUUUUCUAAGAAAACAUGGGGGACAAUGAAGACAUCUACAGACAUCUAGAUGAGUUGUCUAAAUCAAAGUUUAAAAGGUUCAGGCAAUACCUGAACCAGGAUACCCUGCCUGGCUUUACACCAAUUCCCUGGGGCCUACUGGAGAAGAAAGAUGUGACUGACAUAGUGCAAUUGAUGAAGGAGCGAUAUGGGAUCAAAGGCCGUAUGAAGAUAACACAGCACAUCUUGAGGGCUAUGGGGCACCAGGAUCCGUCACAACAGCUUCAGCAGACUUCGGCAGACUUCUCCACUAAUUCCUCCAAUCAGACAGUGAGUGAAGCAAGGACUGGGGUUACCCAGGACAUCCACACUCUGGGAUUGGGAACGUCUGAAGCAGGGAACAGAAUCUCCUCUUCCCAAAUGUCUGUCAGCAAUACAUCCACACCUCAACGUAGGAAAUGGAAUCAGUGUAGCAAAAGAUGGCAUGAGCAAAUGGAAGCUCUUGUUAACAUGGAGGACAGUAAGGUGAGGAGAGUUGGGAACCUGAUAUUUGUCCCUAAGGAUGAGAAAUUCCGGAUGGCUAGGACAGGACAGGCUGAAGUCCUCUUGGGACUCAAGAAGGAUGGCACAGAAGUUGCCAUAAAGAAGAUGCUCAUAUUCCAAGAUGAACUGGAGCGCUUACUGGAAUACAGGUUUACCAGUCUUCAUGUUGUGCAGUACGUGGACUCUGAAGAAGUGGACGACGUUGGCUAUAUUGCCAUGCAGUUGUGUGACUACAACCUGCAGGAAUACUUAAAAGAAAAAAACCCAGAUGAGCUAGAAAGGAGACGAAUAGUGAAAGAGUUCCUUGAGGGUCUGAAAGUCCUACAUGAGCAUGAUCUGAUCCAUCGAGACAUCAAGCCUCAAAACAUUUUAAUUUAUGUUGAUGGUGGAGUAAGAUUGUCUGAUUUUGGGAUAAGUCGCACCUUAGAACCGGGCCAGACUACUAGAGUGACAAGCAGAGCUGGAACAGAGUGCUGGGAGGCCACAGAAGUACUCAGGACCCGACGAGACCAGGGCAUUCGGUACAAGCAAAGCACUGAUAUACAGGUAGCUGGAAUGCUGGUCUACUACAUCCUCUCUGGUGGAAAACAUCCCUUUGGCGAUGACGAGGAUUGUGAAGAUAACAUUAAAAAGUGUGACUACAAACUAGAUGACCUUAAUGAUGAGGAAGCCAAGGAUUUGGUUAAGAGCAUGCUUAACGUUGAUCCAGAAGCGAGGCCACGGAUCACAGAAGUCCUCAGCCAUCCCAACUUCUGGGAUGACAAAAGGAAAGAGAGUUUCCUGAAAGAGGUGGGGGAUGUCCCAGAGGUGCAAAAGCAUGAAAAGUCCUGUAAAGAUGAGCACCUACAAAAGGUUCUCAAAGAACUGGAAGUGGACAAGAAAAGCUUUUCUACAUGGAAAAAGCUGGGCCAUGUGACAGAUGAAGACAUGAAGGAGAAAUGGUCGAAACUUGUGCAGGAUCAUUCUAAAGACAAAGACCCAGAGACCCUGCUAUGUCUACUGCGAUUCAUACGCAAUCGCUGGAGGCACCAGCCAGAGCGAAUGGAAGAAAUCAGCGUGAUGAAGCUCUUCCCGGACCUGGUUGUCACCGCUUACAAGCUUGACAAAAAGAGAGGCUGGAAGUCCCACAGAGAUGUAUGAGUAGUAUAGGGCAUCAUCAGCGUUGGCUUCAUCUCUGUUGGCUGUCAACAGCAUGUCAAUAGAUGAGCAAUGUCCUGCCAACGAUUCCUUCAGUUAAGAGAAAAGCUGAGUCCUCCAGCUCAACCAAGGUGGGGGGUCAUGAGCCUGAUGCUCCUCCCCAGAAGAAGACCAAGCAUUAACCAAAGGGGGGAGGGUGUAACCCACCUUAAAAGUUGGUUACGAAGACCACACAGUAUUAUGCUGGUCUGAAUACAGUAAUUAAAUAAAUAUAUAAAUAUAAUAAAUAUUUAAUAUAUAAGAUAAAUAGCUUUAUCUUUAGAGUUGGUAGUUGAUCGAGUAGAAUUUUAUCAA